rnacentral:rRNA from 1 species
GACGAACGCUGGCGGCGUGCUUAACACAUGCAAGUCGAACGGAAAGGCCUGCUUUCCCUUGUGGAUUGCGGGUACUCGAGUGGCGAACGGGUGAGUAACACGUGAGUGAUCUGCCCCCAACUUGGGUAUAAGCCUGGGAAACUGGGUCUAAUUCACGAUAGGACUGCAGGGUGGUGCCUGUGGUGGAAAACGAUUUUCUAGUGGUUGGGGAUGAGCUCGCGGCCUAUCAGCUUGUUGGUGGGGUAAUGGCCUACCAAGGCGGCGACGGGGGGCCGGCCUGAGAGGGUGGACGUCGACAUUGAGACUGAGCUACCGCCCAGGCUCCUACGGAAGGCAGCAGCUGGGAAGAUUGCACGAUGGGCGGAAGCCUGGUGCAUCGACGCCGCGUGGGUGAUGACGUCCCGCGGGUUGGAUGCACCCUUCGGCCUCGAAGAAGCCACCUGGUUGGAAGGAUGGUGACGGUAGUGGUAGAAGAAGCACCGGCUAACUACGUG